CAAGUCGCACGAGAAAGUGGAGCAAUCCAUGAGUACAGUGGCGCACGGGUGAGUAACACGUGACUAACCUACCCUCGAGUGGGGAAUAACCUAGGGAAACCUGGGCUAAUACCGCAUAACACUUACGAGUCAAAGCAGCAAUGCGCUUGGGGAGGGGGUCGCGGCAGAUUAGCUAGUUGGUGGGGUAAUGGCCUACCAAGGCGAUGAUCUGUAUCCGGCCUGAGAGGGCGCACGGACACACUGGAACUGAAACACGGUCCAGACUCCUACGGGAGGCAGCAGUGGGGAAUUUUGCGCAAUGGGGGAAACCCUGACGCAGCAACGCCGCGUGGAGGAUGAAAUCCCUUGGGAUGUAAACUCCUUUCGAUCGGGACGAUUAUGACGGUACCGGAAGAAGAAGCCCCGGCUAACUUCGUGCCAGCAGCCGCGGUAAUACGAGGGGGGCAAGCGUUGUUCGGAAUUAUUGGGCGUAAAGGGUGCGUAGGCGGUUUGAUAAGUCAUCUGUGAAAUCUAUGGGCUCAACCCAUAGUCUGCAGGCGAAACUGUCGGGCUUGAGUAUGGGAGAGGUGAGUGGAAUUUCCGGUGUAGCGGUGAAAUGCGUAGAUAUCGGAGGGAACACCUGUGGCGAAAGCGGCUCACUGGACCAUUACUGACGCUGAUGCACGAAAGCUAGGGGAGCAAACAGGAUUAGAUACCCUGGUAGUCCUAGCCCUAAACGAUGAUUGCUUGAUGUGGAGGGUACCCAAUCCUUCCGUGUCGAAGCUAACGCGAUAAGCAAUCCGCCUGGGGAGUACGGUCGCAAGGCUGAAACUCAAAGG
rnacentral:rRNA from 1 species